rnacentral:rRNA from 1 species
CGUUGCGAUCAUACCAGCACUAAUGCACCGGAUCCCAUCAGAACUCCGCAGUUAAGCGUGCUUGGGCGAGAGUAGUACUAGGAUGGGUGACCCCCUGGGAAGUCCUCGUGUUGCAACCC